CGCGCCCAGCGGCUCAGGAGGCGUCGCCCUUACGCCGCGGCGCCUCUCGGCCCGCCCGGCCCGCUCCCAUCCAGCUCGGAGCCGCGGGGACUCGGCGCCCAGGGAAAGAAUGCGUUAUCCAGAAGUGAAGGACUCCACUUUGAAGUUGGGAUUGUCUGUCCCCUUCCUGGGACGCCGAUGCUGAUGCUCCCUCGAAGGUCUCUGGUCCGGACUGACUCUCUGUGUCUUCUUUCAAACCCUCUUCUACUUGGUGUACAUCUGGAGGAUAAACUGGAACGAACAGAGUGGCAGAGCAGCUCAGCCCCCAGAUGCCAGCAGGUGUGGCUGCAGCUCUCGAUGGAGAGUUUUAGAGCCUUUUAUAGGGAAUUGGACCAACCCAAAUAGGAAAUCCUAAAAUGACUGACAUUGGAGCUUCCCCAACACAAAGCCCACCCGAUGACCUGGAGAGCAGUGUUCCCCUGGGCCAUCUCCGCCCCCCCCUGCCCUGGGGAGGCAAGCGGGCAGAGCUGGUACAGACCAGUCAGAGGAGACAGCGG